rnacentral:rRNA from 1 species
GUGCCAGCAGCCGCGGUAAGACAGAGGGUGCAAACGUUGUUCGGAAUUACUGGGCGUAAAGCGCGUGUAGGCGGCUUGGUAAGUUGGGUGUGAAAUCCCAGGGCUCAACCCUGGAAGUGCAUUCAAAACUGCUCGGCUAGAGUUCUGGAGAGGAAGGUGGAAUGCUUGGUGUAGAGGUGAAAUUCGUAGAUAUCAAGCGGAACACCGGUGGCGAAGGCGGCCUUCUGGACAGAAACUGACGCUGAGACGCGAAAGCGUGGGGAGCAAACAGGAUUAGAAACCCGAGUAGUCC